UUCCGCCGAGGACGCAGGAGGCGCGGGUCGCGUGACCCGCGCCUCCUGCGUCCUCGCGCAGU
rnacentral:misc_RNA from 1 species